AUGGAGGGUCAGGGAGAGAAUGUGUGUGAUAUUCUGGGGAAGAAACUAGUGAGUGUAGAGGGGUCGAGGGGGGUGACAGAUGCUGCGGCGGGGAUGGGUUCCCCGUCGGCCACUGCCCAAGCUGGUUCAUCUCUCCACCUCGCAAUGCAUAACCAGUUGGGGACGAAGAUGUCGGGGAGCCGUCCUCUGGUCCUUGACAUGGAGGCUGCCCGCAAGGCCAUCAGUGGUUUCCUCGUGGUUGGACGCCUCCUCUCCCCCUUCCAGGGCAACCCAAGGGUCAUCCUCGACGAUCUCCGGAACAUGGUUUGGAAGAACCAAGGGGCGACCAUCCUCCAAGAGGUGGCCAGCGACGACGGGAGGUUCAUCCUCAACUUUGCCGCUGAGAAUGACCGUCGGUUUGUGCUUAAGGAACAACCAUGGCAUUUCAAGCGGGAUGGGCUUGUCUUCGCCGAGUUCGACGGCAAGGGUGACCCGACAAAGGUAGACCUUGGCGUCAUGACCAUAUGGGUCCAGGUACGAGAUCUUCCGUUCAUGCUUAAGACGAAGAGUAUAGGGUGGUCUCUCGAGGAUCAAUUGGGAGAGGUGCUGGAGGUAUCACACCGUAAUCAUGUAAUCGUUGAAAAAUAUUUGCGUGUGCGCGUGAAGCUUUUAUUGCAUGAACCUCUGAAGACUUCUGUAGGGUUUACCCCUUUAGGUAGUUCAAAGAUACUUAAAUUUGAUGUAAAGUAUGAGAAGCUACCUUUGUACUGUGAGUUUUGUGGGAUUGUGGGUCAUACUUCUGAAAGAUUUUGUAAAAUCCCAAGUGAGAAAAGAGUAGCUUGCUUCCCUAGAAAUCUUAGUGUUGAGCCCUACUAG
rnacentral:rRNA from 1 species